GCCCCCAUCGUCUAGAGGUCUAGGACGUCAGCCUUUCAAGCUGGAGACAGCGAUUCGAAUUCGCUUGGGGGCACCA
rnacentral:tRNA from 1 species